rnacentral:rRNA from 1 species
AUGGCUCGUGCUGUUGUUUCGUUGAAUUUUAAUGCGUUCCUUGAGAAAGCAAAGUUGAAAGAUGAUGGUAGCAAUUACACGGACUGGGUCCGUGACUUGAGGAUUAUCCUCAUUGCUGCACAGAAAAGUUACGUCCUGGAAUUACCGCUGGGUGCCAGGCCUGCUGCUGAUGGAACUGACGAUGUUAAGAACGUCUGGCAGAGCAAAGCUGAUGACUACUCGAUAGUUCAAUGUGCCAUGCUUUACGACUUAGAAUCGGGUCUUCAACGAUGUUUUGAGCGUCAUGGAGCAUAUGAGAUGUUCCAAGAGUUGAAGUUAAUAUUU